UCGAGCGGUAGCACAGGGGAGCUUGCUCCCUGGGUGACGAGCGGCGGACGGGUGAGUAAUGUCUGGGAAACUGCCCGAUGGAGGGGGAUAACUACUGGAAACGGUGGCUAAUACCGCAUAACGUCUUCGGACCAAAGUGGGGGACCUUCGGGCCUCACACCAUCGGAUGUGCCCAGAUGGGAUUAGCUAGUAGGUGGGGUAAUGGCUCACCUAGGCGACGAUCCCUAGCUGGUCUGAGAGGAUGACCAGCCACACUGGAACUGAGACACGGUCCAGACUCCUACGGGAGGCAGCAGUGGGGAAUAUUGCACAAUGGGCGCAAGCCUGAUGCAGCCAUGCCGCGUGUGUGAAGAAGGCCUUCGGGUUGUAAAGCACUUUCAGCGAGGAGGAAGGGUUCAGUGUUAAUAGCACUGUUCAUUGACGUUACUCGCAGAAGAAGCACCGGCUAACUCCGUGCCAGCAGCCGCGGUAAUACGGAGGGUGCAAGCGUUAAUCGGAAUUACUGGGCGUAAAGCGCACGCAGGCGGUUUGUUAAGUCAGAUGUGAAAUCCCCGCGCUUAACGUGGGAACUGCAUUUGAAACUGGCAAGCUAGAGUCUUGUAGAGGGGGGUAGAAUUCCAGGUGUAGCGGUGAAAUGCGUAGAGAUCUGGAGGAAUACCGGUGGCGAAGGCGGCCCCCUGGACAAAGACUGACGCUCAGGUGCGAAAGCGUGGGGAGCAAACAGGAUUAGAUACCCUGGUAGUCCACGCUGUAAACGAUGUCGACUUGGAGGUUGUGCCCUUGAGGCGUGGCUUCCGGAGCUAACGCGUUAAGUCGACCGCCUGGGGAGUACGGCCGCAAGGUUAAAACUCAAAUGAAUUGACGGGGGCCCGCACAAGCGGUGGAGCAUGUGGUUUAAUUCGAUGCAACGCGAAGAACCUUACCUACUCUUGACAUCCACGGAACUUGGUAGAGAUACCUUGGUGCCUUCGGGAACCGUGAGACAGGUGCUGCAUGGCUGUCGUCAGCUCGUGUUGUGAAAUGUUGGGUUAAGUCCCGCAACGAGCGCAACCCUUAUCCUUUGUUGCCAGCACGUCAUG
rnacentral:rRNA from 1 species